GUCUGAAAUAGUCGGGAAAGCGUUGCGAGUGAGCAAAUUGAUCUUGAACCUGCGCCUUGAGAUCGGUUAACUUUUGCAUCGGAACUGCUUUAUGCAAAUGCCGGUGUAAUGCGCGCAUUAAUUGCAUCUACACACUUUAAAAACGUGUUUUCGAUUUGCAGUUCCGAAUGCAAUUGUCGGGUUGACUGACACUCUGACCUUAUUCAGUCGCUAAUCAUAUUUUAUCAUCUUUUCCUUACAGAUAUGCAUGGGAUAAGGCGUAAACAGCAAGAAAUUAUAAAUACGUGUACUUUAUAGGCAAAGAAAUUGUAAAACUAUGUGUGCGUCCUUAAUCGGACUACAAGGAUUAUAAAGUGGAUAUAUCUGCUCCAAAAACUUGACCUAAGAUCACCCUAAAAAUACAGUGGAUACUUACAUCCCAGUCGGUUCAGAUGGUGAUGGUGGUCGAUUGACCUGCGUUCUCUGCGCGCUCCCUCGUCCUGCUGGAACAAGUGCUCGCAGGCCUCCAUCGCGAACUUCUUCAUCCGCUCCAGGGAGCAGUAGCCCGAUGAGCUGUCGAGCAGGCAGAACACGCCGAGGAGCAGCAGCAUCCAGCGGCACACAUUAAACUGCAAGGGAGGAACGGAAAAAAAACAAGACAUCUGUGAGUAUUUUCAAAAUAAACACCCAACCGGCCUCCGGCGCCUAAUUAUAAACCGCUGACGCUCAGAAUUUAUCGCAUAUGUGUUACAACGAUCCUCUAACCGGCUGCACGCUGCACUGCCUUGGUUUUUCCAAAACUGAAUCUGGUUCGCAUCUCGGGAGAUGGGCAGAAUCUGGAUUAACCACUUGGUAUGACGACAGCCGGGAUGUCGGGAUGGCAGGAUGACGUCGCCGACUCCCACGCCCCGGAUUAUGCGGCCCAUUAACUGGGUCAAUACCGAGGCCAGGUCGAAACAUAAGCCGGAGCGCAUUUGCAAGUCGACGCGACCAAAUGGUCACACUUUAUUGCCGCUUUUAAUGACCGAAACUUCCCCGACAUUACCUGGACCUGGAGCUGGAGCUGGAGUGGAAAUUAUGUAAUGCGCCUCGCAGGAUCACGGUUCCUAUAAGAUCACUGCGGCAACACUACGUAUACGUGUUUUUGGCGGCAAACCGAAAACUUGCUGAAUGUAAGCCCGUCAGAUCGGCGUUACCUGAUAAUCACGAGUGGCGAGCGCACAAUGAAAGCUCGCACGAGGUCC